UCUAGUGUACCUUUGGGUACUGGGUUCGAGUUCUCAGGUGUGUUUUGAGGGACUAUUUUUUAUUUUGUUUUAUUUGGUUUGUAAAAUCUAAAUAUUUAGUUAUUCUUUUAUUUUUAUUUAUGUCAAUUAUUUUUAUUUUGAAAGAGGCCAAAAUUUUCUCAUGUUUUUCUCUUCCAUUUUCUUUUGUUAGUUUCUUCUCCCCCUCUUCCGCAUGUGAGAUUUUUCCAUUUUUUUAGUUCCAAUUUUUUUGGGAAAUUUUACUAUUUCCUUCAA
rnacentral:lncRNA from 1 species